rnacentral:rRNA from 1 species
UUGCUCUUAUGAAGUUAGCGGCGGACGGGUGAGUAACACGUGGGUAACCUGCCCAUAAGACUGGGAUAACUCCGGGAAACCGGGGCUAAUACCGGAUAACAUUUUGAACCGCAUGGUUCGAAAUUGAAAGGCGGCUUCGGCUGUCACUUAUGGAUGGACCCGCGUCGCAUUAGCUAGUUGGUGAGGUAACGGCUCACCAAGGCAACGAUGCGUAGCCGACCUGAGAGGGUGAUCGGCCACACUGGGACUGAGACACGGCCCAGACUCCUACGGGAGGCAGCAGUAGGGAAUCUUCCGCAAUGGACGAAAGUCUGACGGAGCAACGCCGCGUGAGUGAUGAAGGCUUUCGGGUCGUAAAACUCUGUUGUUAGGGAAGAACAAGUGCUAGUUGAAUAAGCUGGCACCUUGACGGUACCUAACCAGAAAGCCACGGCUAACUACGUGCCAGCAGCCGCGGUAAUACGUAGGUGGCAAGCGUUAUCCGGAAUUAUUGGGCGUAAAGCGCGCGCAGGUGGGUUCUUAAGUCUGAUGUGAAAGCCCACGGCUCAACCGUGGAGGGUCAUUGGAAACUGGGAGACUUGAGUGCAGAAG